CGCUGAGCUGCCGCCCACAAGAGGCGAGGGAAAUCCACGAGCUUGCCAUCACAAAGGAGCUGCAUUUCAGGAUGGUUGAAGAUCUUGGACUGCAUAGCUCGAUUGCUUCAGGUUCGUUGGAUGAGUUGGAAAAUGUUUUUACGGCUAUUGCUGUGAUGAAAGAGCUGACUUCCAAGACACGAGAUUACCUUGUUUACUUCGGUGAACACAUGUCCACAAGAAUAUUUUCUGCAUAUUUAAAUAAACUCGAGGAAGGAGCAC